AUCAACUUUCGAUGGUAGGAUAGAGGCCUACCAUGGUGGUAACGGGUAACGGGGUGUUAGGGCACGACACCGGAGAGGGAGCCUGAGAAACGGCUACCACAUCCAAGGAAGGCAGUAGGCGCGCAAAUUACCCAAUCCCAACACGGGGAGGUAGUGACAAUAAAUAACAAUACAGGGUUCUUAUGGAUCUUGUAAUUGGAAUGAGUACAAUUUAAAUCUCUUAACGAGGAACAAUUGGAGGGCAAGUCUGGUGCCAGCAGCCGCGGUAAUUCCAGCUCCAAUAGCGUAUAUUAAAGUUGUUGCAGUUAAAAAGCUCGUAGUUGAAUUUCGGGAUCAAUACGUCGGUCGUGCCUCUGGUAUGUACUGGUGUUAUUGAUUUCUCCUUUCUGAUGAGCCAUGAUGUCAUUAAUUUGGUGUUGUGGGGAGUCAGGACUGUUACUUUGAAAAAAUUAGAGUGUUUAAAGCAGGCUUACGCCUGAAUACAUUAGCAUGGAAUAAUGAAAUAGGACGUUCGAUCUUAUUUUGUUGGUUUCUAGGAUCAACGUAAUGAUUAAUAGGGAUAGUUGGGGGCAUUAGUAUUCAAUUGUCAGAGGUGAAAUUCUUGGAUUUAUUGAAGACUAACUACUGCGAAAGCAUUUGCCAAGGAUGUUUUCAUUAAUCAAGAACGAAAGUUAGGGGAUCGAAGACGAUCAGAUACCGUCGUAGUCUUAACCAUAAACUAUGCCGACUAGGGAUCGGAUGAUGUUAAUUUUUUAAUGACUCAUUCGGCGCCUUACGGGAAACCAAAGUGUUUGGGUUC
rnacentral:rRNA from 1 species